rnacentral:rRNA from 1 species
CUACGGGUGGCUCCAGUGGGGAAUCUUGCGCAAUGGGCGAAAGCCUGACGCAGCAACGCCGCGUGCGGGAUGAAGGCCUUCGGGCUGUAAACCGCUUUCAGCAGGAACGAAAAUGACGGUACCUGCAGAAGAAGGAGCGGCCAACUACGUGCCAGCAGCCGCGGUGACACGUAGGCUCCAAGCGUUGUCCGGAUUUAUUGGGCGUAAAGAGCUCGUAGGCGGUUGAGUAAGUCGGGUGUGAAAACUCUGGGCUUAACCCGGAGACGCCAUCCGAUACUGCUCUGACUAGAGUUCAGGAGGGGAGUGGGGAAUUCCUAGUGUAGCGGUGAAAUGCGCAGAUAUUAGGAGGAACACCGGUGGCGAAGGCGCCACUCUGGACUGAAACUGACGCUGAGGAGCGAAAGCAUGGGUAGCAAACAGGAUUAGAUACCCCAGUAGUC